CCUACGGGGUGCAGCAGUGAGGAAUAUUGGUCAAUGGGCGGGAGCCUGAACCAGCCAAGUCGCGUGAGGGAAGACGGUCCUAUGGAUUGUAAACCUCUUUAGGCGGGGAGCAAUGCCGGGCACGCGUGCCCGGAGGGAGAGUACCCGCAGAAUAAGCAUCGGCUAACUCCGUGCCAGCAGCGGCGGUCAGACGGAGGAUGCGAGCGUUAUCCGGUUUUAUGGGGUUUAAAGGGUGCGUAGGCGGAUUUUUAAGUCAGCGGUAAAAUGUCCGGGCUCAACCAGGGCCGGCCGUUGAAACUGGGGAUCUUGAGUGGGCGAGAAGUAUGCGGAAUGCGUGGUGUAGCGGUGAAAUGCAUAGAUAUCACGCAGAACUCCGAUUGCGAAGGCAGCAUACCGGCGCCCGACUGACGCUGAGGCACGAAAGCGUGGGGAUCGAACAGGAUUAGAUACCCUAGUAGUC
rnacentral:rRNA from 1 species